UACGGGGGGGGCAAGCGUGUUCGGAAUUACUGGGCGUAAAGGGCUCGUAGGCGGCCAACUAAGUCAGACGUGAAAUCCCUCGGCUUAACCGGGGAACUGCAUCUGAUACUGGAUGGCUUGAGUUCGGGAGAGGGAUGCGGAAUUCCAGGUGUAGCGGUGAAAUGCGUAGAUAUCUGGAGGAACACCGGUGGCGAAGGCGGCAUCCUGGACCGACACUGAACGCUGAGGAGCGAAAAGCCAGGGGAGCAAACGGG
rnacentral:rRNA from 1 species